rnacentral:ncRNA from 1 species
CGCCUUGAUUACAAUUCCGAUCGAGCGGCGAGCUGAAUCCUUUGCAGACGACUUAAAUACGCGACGGGGUAUUGUAAGGGGUAGAGUGGCCUUGCUGCCACGAUCCUCUGAGAUUCAGCCCUUUGUCGCUCCGAUUCGU